AGUGAACGCUGGCGGCAGGCCUAAUACAUGCAAGUCGAACGGCAGCACAGCAGAGCUUGCUCUGUGGGUGGCGAGUGGCGGACGGGUGAGGAAUACAUGGGAAUCUGCCCAGUCGUGGGGGAUAACGUAUGGAAACGUACGCUAAUACCGCAUGCGCCCUACGGGGGAAAGUCGGGGACCGCAAGGCCUGACGCGAUUGGAUGAGCCCAUGUUCGAUUAGCUAGUUGGCGGGGUAAAGGCCCACCAAGGCGACGAUCGAUAGCUGGUCUGAGAGGAUGAUCAGCCACACUGGAACUGAGACACGGUCCAGACUCCUACGGGAGGCAGCAGUAGGGAAUAUUGGACAAUGGGGGCAACCCUGAUCCAGCCAUGCCGCGUGAGUGAAGAAGGCCCUCGGGUUGUAAACCUCUUUCAGUAGGGACGAAGCGUAAGUGACGGUACCUAUAGAAGAAGCACCGGCCAACUACGUGCCAGCAGCCGCGGUAA
rnacentral:rRNA from 1 species